rnacentral:tRNA from 1 species
CACUGAGUAGCUAAUUCAAGGAAAGCACUAGCCUUUUAAGCUAGUAUAGGUGGAAACACCUCCCACCCCCAGUGC